rnacentral:rRNA from 1 species
AUUGAACGCUGGCGGCAGGCCUAACACAUGCAAGUCGAACGGUAGCACAGAGAGCUUGCUCUCGGGUGACGAGUGGCGGACGGGUGAGUAAUGUCUGAGAAACUGCCCGAUGGAGGGGGAUAACUACUGGAAACGGUAGCUAAUACCGCAUAACGUCGCGAGACCAAAGUGGGGGACCUUCGGGCCUCCCACCAUCGGAUGUGCCCAGAUAGGAUUAGCUAGUAGGUGGGGUAAUGGCUCACCUAGGCGACGAUCCCUAGCUGGUCUGAGAGGAUGACCAGCCACACUGGAACUGAGACACGGUCCAGACUCCUACGGGAGGCAGCAGUGGGGAAUAUUGCACAAUGGGCGCAAGCCUGAUGCAGCCAUGCCGCGUGUAUGAAGAAGGCCUUCGGGUUGUAAAGUACUUUCAGCGGGGAGGAAGGCGGUGAAGUUAAUAGCUUCACCGAUUGACGUUACCCGCAGAAGAAGCACCGGCUAACUCCGUGCCAGCCGCCGCGGUAA